rnacentral:rRNA from 1 species
CUCUGUGACUCCUACGGGAGGCAGCAGUGGGGAAUAUUGCACAAUGGGGGAAACCCUGAUGCAGCCAUGCCGCGUGUGUGAAGAAGGCCUUCGGGUUGUAAAGCACUUUCAGUAGGGAGGAAGGUAGUGUAGUUAACACCUGCAUUAUUUGACGUUACCUACAGAAGAAGCACCGGCUAACUCCGUGCCAGCAGCCGCGGUAAUACGGAGGGUGCGAGCGUUAAUCGGAAUUACUGGGCGUAAAGCGCAUGCAGGCGGCCUGUUAAGUCAGAUGUGAAAGCCCCGGGGCUUAACCCUCGGAAUUGCAUUUGAAACUGGCAGGCUAGAGUCUUGUAGAGGGGGUAGAAUUUCAGGUGUAGCGGUGAAAUGCGUAGAGAUCUGAAGGAAUACCAGUGGCGAAGGCGGCCCCCUGGACAAAGACUGACGCUCAGAUGCGAAAGCGUGGGGAGCAAACAGGAUUAGAUACCCUGGUAG